rnacentral:tRNA from 1 species
GCGGGUGUGGCGGAAUUGGUAGACGCACCAGAUUUAGGUUCUGGCGCCGCAAGGUGUGGAAGUUCGAGUCUUCUCACCCGCACCA